UCUAUCCGCGAACACUUCUCUCCGCCCAGCCCCAGACCUCCUCAGUCCUCACUCCUCAGACACAACCCCUCGUCCUUCAAUCUCCUCCACCAUCCGCCGGACAGCAGCAGCCGCGGAGGCCCUAUCCCCUUUCCCUCCACCCUCCUCAACUCUCUGUCAGCCCUAUCCUCUCCCGCUCCCUUCGUCAUAGUCGCGCUCCCUCUCCGUCGCCCUCCACGCAGCAGCAGCCUCUGUGUCGUCCUCCACGCAGCAGUAUCCCGUGUCGUCCUCCGUGCAUCGCAGCGCACUCCAGCUGGCAGCCACUUCCGUGUCUUCGUCCUCUCCUUCCUGCACUCUGCCACAUCAUCAACAUCAUCAAGAAUGGAGCCUUUGACUCAGUUUGAUAACAGUACAAGUGACAACAUUGGUGAAACAGGAAGACCGAAAAACCAAAUCAAAUCAAUCCAAUUACAAUUGGUUUAGUUUGGUUUGGUUAGCCUUAAAUAAAAAACCAACCGAAUAUUUGUUCAAUGUAUUGGAUGGCCUUUCCUCUAACAACCGAACUAUACUGCACUGUGAACACCGGAACAAAUUUGAUUAAAAAAAUCGUUCGGGGACGAAAAUGAAGAUCGCGUAAUCUUUCGAGGACGAAUUUGAAGUGGUGCAAGUAUCACAUGGGACAUAGUGGUAGGAGGUUGGGACUUGGAAUACAGUGCUGAGUUUGUCCCAAAUGAAGAAGGCAGCUACACCAUAGCAGUUGAGAGGGCAAGGAAAGUUGAAGCCUCAGAAGAAGCCAUCCACAACACUUUCACUUCAAAGGAAUCAGGCAAAUUGGUGCUCUCUGUUGAUAAAAGUGCCUCUAGGAAGAAAAAAGUUGCUGCUUACCGCUAUUUUGUGCAGUUAAAUAAUUAAGCAGCAAAUAAUAAUUAUGUUAAGCUUGUGAUGUUUGCUUCUCUCUUUUUUAAAACAAUAAUUUUUGUUAAUUAUGGUUUGAGCUUGUUAAAGGCUAAUGAAGUUACUAAGCAGUGUAUUGGUGUUAUGUAUAAAAUUUGGAAAAUGGGUGGUAGGACAUGUUCAAUUGGGAAUUGGUAUAGAAGAAAAAGCAAUUAGCUUUGCUUGGUAUUGAAUGCGUUCAUUUCAUCAUGAUAAUGAGUUUGUUGAUUAUACGCAGUAUUGUAGUGUAUUUGUUCUUACAUCUCUCUGUUUCGGAGAAGUAUCUGAACAAUUUGGAAAGAAUUAUUGUUUCGG